AUUGAACGCUGGCGGCAUGCUUUACACAUGCAAGUCGAACGGCAGCGCGGGCUUCGGCCUGGCGGCGAGUGGCGAACGGGUGAGUAAUACAUCGGAACGUGCCCAGUAGUGGGGGAUAGCUCGGCGAAAGCCGGAUUAGUACCGCAUACGACCUGAGGGUGAAAGCGGGGGAUCUUCGGACCUCGCGCUAUUGGAGCGCCGAUGGCAGAUUAGCUAGUUGGUGGGGUAAAGGCCUACCAAGGCGACGAUCUGUAGCUGGUCUGAGAGGACGACCAGCCACACUGGGACUGAGACACGGCCCAGACUCCUACGGGAGGCAGCAGUGGGGAAUUUUGGACAAUGGGCGAAAGCCUGAUCCAGCAAUGCCGCGUGUGUGAUGAAGGCCUUCGGGUUGUAAAGCACUUUUGGCGGGAACGAAAAGGACUGUGCCAAUACCACGGUUCGAUGACGGUACCCGCAGAAUAAGCACCGGCUAACUACGUG
rnacentral:rRNA from 1 species